rnacentral:lncRNA from 1 species
CUUUCCUCUGAGGCCUUCUGCUGAGGACGGGUGACUUUAUCUCUAGCCACUUCCCAGGAGGGUGAGGCAUGGAUAUUGAUUGGUCUAUGGUGGUCCCAUUCUCUUUCCUACCAUUGCUUUAAGAACAGUCAUGAGACCUCAUCUUGAUCAAUGAUAUGUAAGAGAAAUGAUGGGAUGGUUUCUACAGAAAAGAUUUCCAAUCGAUAGAAAGAAACUCAGGGGAGGAAAUGGUUCCUUCGCUUCAGUUGGAUUAGUGUCAUGUCCGCAUGGGACACCUAGAACUAUGGCAGCCACCUUGUGACCGCAAGAGACAACACCAACAGGUUGAAGCUGACAGUGAACAAUGAUGGUGUUCUUGAUGAGGUUACUUGUCAAUUACAAAAGAAAAGAAAACCAUAACAGCAGAGUAAUCUGGCAGAUGCCAAUUUAACCAAGGGAUUGAAGCUGAUGUCUUCAACAAUGAGACUAACCCCCAUCUUUGCUUCCUGAUGUGAGACUUCCCCAUGGCGCAACAGUCCUAACCCAGCAGAAACCUCAGACAAGUCCAAACCCAGGGACAUUAUGCAAAUUGACUGGCCUGUACUCUUCAAAAAUGUCAAGGUCAUGAAAAACAAGAAAAGGCUGAGGAACUAUUUUAAAUUAAAGGAUAAUAAAGAAACACCAUAACAACAGCAA